UGACGCCUGCCUAAUCGCCGCUGGUUGUGUUCGGAGGCUCCAGGACCUGCUGUAAUAACACAGCCACUUAAUUAGUCUUUUCCUGAGUAAAGGCCUUGGAAAGCAAAGCAGUCGCAGCUUCCUAGAUCCUCUUAACUAUGGCUGUCUGGCAUUUCACCCACCUCUCCAUUUGUGAAGCUCUCACCACGAGCAGCUCCAGCUCACCACCCAAGAUAACUGCUCCAUAUGUGAAGGUGACCAGCUGUUGAUUGAGUGUUGCAGAGAUCUUUGGAGAACAGUGUGCACUCAGCUUGGAGAUGAAGGGCUAAAUUCAGACCAUUUGUGCUCUUGGCAUGCUGCUCCUCCUCAUCGCUGUGUGUUUGCUUUAGAAGUCUGACUGGCUGACAUGCCCCGGCCGCCAGCUAAUGCGGAUUAAUUCUGACUCUCUUCAGGCUUCAAGGAAACAGAUUGUGGAGGGGUUUUCAUCACAAGGGGAAUGAAAGAAGCUAGCAGAGUAUCUUAACCCAAACCACGUCACCCAUUGCUUUCAAUCAGAAAGGAGGACAGAUGAGAUUAACCUCAAAACCCCCCCCGGCUUCCUUGCGGACACUGCAAACCACAGUACCAAGUAAGAGAGGAAUGUGGGAAGAGGAUGAUUUUUUUUGUAGGAAACUGGACUUAGGACUGUAAGGAACUGGACUUAGUACACCAAGCCCAUUCUACAUUGGCCACAGAACAGUCAUCAGAGGGUGUUGACUUUUGACCACUACUGUUUUUGUUAACAGGAAAAAUAAAACCAUAUGUUGCCUAAGUAGAUGCACAAAACUUUUCUCCAAAUCCCCACAGACAAACUGUCAGCAGCAAAAGUAUUUACUUUGGUAAUGCAGCUGGGCUUAAUCCCAGCCCCAUUGUGUUUGUGCAUGCCUUUUCACCACGGAGCUCAAUAACAUGCUGUUUGCGAAGAGGGUGAAUGAAUGCAUGCAGUAUGAUUUCGGUUAUUAGGCCUAUCGGUUACAGCCCGAGACAAAAGGCUGGAGUCAACAAUGGUAGCACUACAUAGGCCCUGCUCAUGCUUCGAGUUAGGCUAAAUGGAAAUCUCAGUCAUCAGUCACGUCAACUAGCCAUCAGCUUGAGGUAGGACAGCAGGACUUGGCCCGGUGGUGCGGAUCCUCAGCUGGCUUAAAUCAGCGUAAAUCCAGUGUAGUCCAAGGAGCCACAGCUGAGGAUUUUGGCGCCUACUGUCUAUUUUUGAGUUUAGUGGUUGUUGAAUGCUUAAUUCUCUGGGCUGCAGGCUCCUGCAGCUGAGCCAUGGAUGCGCUCUCAGGCUGCUUCCUCCUGUUUGGGGGGUCACAAAUGUCAGUGAGGUCCCUGCAUGGCACCUUUGGGUGCACCAGCCCCGGGGCAAUCCCAAGCACAAACACAGGCUGAAUGGAGACUGGGUUGAGACCAGCCCUGGGGAGAAGGACUUGGGGGUGUUGGUGGUUUAGAAGCUCAGCAUAGCCCCUGAAGAAGACUGUCAGUGUGCUCAUGGAGCCCAAAAAGCCAGCUGUCUCCUGGGCUGCAUCACA